GGAGGGAUGUGAGAGUGGUUGAAUCAGCUGCCCUCGAAAUGCAGUAGGUGUAACAGCCUCGUGGGUUCGAAUCCCACUCCCUCCUCCA
rnacentral:tRNA from 1 species